rnacentral:rRNA from 1 species
GACGAACGCUGGCGGCGUGCUUAACACAUGCAAGUCGAACGGAAAGGCCCUGCUUUUGUGGGGUGCUCGAGUGGCGAACGGGUGAGUAACACGUGAGUAACCUGCCCUUGACUUUGGGAUAACUUCAGGAAACUGGGGCUAAUACCGGAUAGGAGCUCCUGCUGCAUGGUGGGGGUUGGAAAGUUUCGGCGGUUGGGGAUGGACUCGCGGCUUAUCAGCUUGUUGGUGGGGUAGUGGCUUACCAAGGCUUUGACGGGUAGCCGGCCUGAGAGGGUGACCGGGCACCAUGGGACUGAGGUACGGCCCAGACUCCUACGGGAGGCAGCAGUGGGGAAUAUUGCACAAUGGGCGGAAGCCUGAUGCAGCAACGCCGCGUGCGGGAUGACGGCCUUCGGGUUGUAAACCGCUUUCGCCUGUGACGAAGCGUGAGUGACGGUAAUGGGUAAAGAAGCACCGGCUAACUACGUG